ACGAGUUAGGGUCUCCUAGGCCCGACCUCCCAACCCUUUGUUUAAUAGACCUCUGUUGCUUCGGCGGACCCGUCUUACUGACCGCCGGAGGACCGCCUAUCCGGCGUCCUCUGGCCAGUGUCCGCCGACAGCCUAUCUUAACUCUGGAAUAACCGUGACAUGUGUCUAAGUGAAUUUAUUCAAUUAAAAGCAAAAACUUUCAACAACGGAUCUCUUGGUUCUGGCAUCGAUGAAGAACGCAGCGAAAUGCGAUAAGUAAUGCGAAUUGCAGAAUUCCAGUGAGUCAUCGAAUCUUUGAACGCACAUUGCGCCCUUUGGUAUUCCGAAGGGCAUGCCUGUUCGGAGCGUCAUUAUCACCCCCUCAAGCCUUGUGCUUGGUGUUGGACGGUAUGGUGGACCCCUCCACCCGUCCUAAAGACAAUGACGGCGGCCUCGCGGAACCCCCGGUACACUGAGCUUCUUAACUGAGCACGUAUCGGAUCAAGGGCGCCCGGGGCACGGUCCUCUUCCCCUCGGGGAAAAUUUUCUCAAGGUUGACC
rnacentral:rRNA from 1 species